CUGGUGGCGCACUUCCUGUUUACGGGCCGUGUGAUCGCGUCUGCGCUCAGCAUACAGAUACCUGGCCCGCCCCUUCGGCGGGCUUUUUUUU
rnacentral:sRNA from 1 species